CCUUAAGGACCAAACUUCUGGAAUAAAAGGGAAUCAUGACGUGUCAGACAUGUCAUGUGUCCUUAAGGGCUUAAUGAAGCUGUUUUUGUGUCUCUGAAUUUCCACUGCUCAAUUCACUCCUAUGUAGGAGUUAAAGGGACACUAUAGUCAAUAAAACAACUUCUUGCAGCUCUAACCACACCUCCUUUGGCUGUAACUGACACAGCCUACCUGAAAACAAAGUGGUUUCAUUUUCAAUCAGAUGUAACUUAUUUUAAAAGUUGUUAGCUCCUGCUUUGUAAUUAAACUUUAAGUACGUACAGGAGGCUACUGCAUGGUCUAGCACACUUAACAGAGUAGGAGAUAAGAAAUUCGACAUUUAACAGAAUUUGCAGUAAAGGAAAUAUAAACAUUAGAGGACUCUUUACAGAGUGUUUAGGAACGCUGUGUAAGUCACAUGUAGGGAGUUGUGAUUAAACAAAGUAAUGUAACUCCUAAAUGGCAGAGAAUUGAGCAGUGAGACUGCAGGGGCAUGAUCCAUACACAAAAAAAACCUGACUCAUUUAGCCAGGGUUGUUUUGGUGACUAUCGUGUCCUUUUAAGAUACACACAUAUACAUUAUACCUUUCUUUUAAUCCUAGAAUCCUUUAGCAACAAAACACAAAUCUGUAAGAUGUAGCAAAAUCUGCUAAAAGGUAAAUUGCUAUAUGUUGGGGAUGUGCAAAACCAAGAAGAAUGAAUUGAAAUGUAGGUUUAGAUUUUAGCAAGUCACAAAUUAUCUUUACAUUUUCAUUGUGUAGAGCUGUAGAGAGGGCAAGCCAUAAGCCAGGUCAACUUGGGUAAUAUUGACUUCAAAGCUUCCCAGUUAUCCACCACAUCCUAAGAUCUAAAAUCAACAGAACCUUCAACCACUGAAAUGGAGCAGUCAUAAAUACUUCCCCUCUUUACUCACUGCCAAACAAAGAUGUACUACAUGCAAAGGAAAAAAAUCUCUUUACAUCAAACCAUUUGUCUAUUGUGAAUGUUUUAGACAUUAAGAAUGUUCUGUAUGUAUACCCUAUGUUUCAUUCCAUUUGUGGGAUACAUAAGACGGUGUUAUGUUUUUAAAGUUCUAAAAGAAAAUUUUAAUUGUAUUUCUUCUGUGAAUAAUAUGGAAUUGAAGUGAUUUAUUAAUAAAGUAUUUUUCAGAGUC